rnacentral:siRNA from 1 species
ACCAGAAACUAGCGGGGUGUUGGU